rnacentral:rRNA from 1 species
UACAGAGGUCCCAAGCGUUGUUCGGAUUCACUGGGCGUAAAGGGUGCGUAGGUGGUGGGGUAAGUCCGAUGUGAAAGCUCCGAGCUCAACUCGGAAAUUGCAUUAGAAACUACCCUGCUGGAGGAUUGGAGGGGGGACUGGAAUUCUCGGUGUAGCAGUGAAAUGCGUAGAUAUCGAGAGGAACACCAGUGGCGAAGGCGAGUCCCUGGACAAUUCCUGACACUGAGGCACGAAAGCUAGGGGAGCAAACAGG